AGGCAGCAGUGGGGAAUUUUGGACAAUGGGGGCAACCCUGAUCCAGCCAUGCCGCGUGAGUGAAGAAGGCCUUCGGGUUGUAAAGCUCUUUCGGCCGGAACGAAAUCGCGUACGUGAAUAACGUGCGUGGAUGACGGUACUGGAAGAAGAAGCACCGGCUAACUACGUGCCAGCAGCCGCGGUAAUACGUAGGGUGCGAGCGUUGAUCGGAAUUACUGGGCGUAAAGCGUGCGUAGGCGGUUUUGUAAGUCAGAUGUGAAAUCCCCGGGCUUAACCUGGGAACUGCGUUUGAAACUACAGAGCUAGAGUGUGGCAGAGGGGGGUGGAAUUCCACGUGUAGCAGUGAAAUGCGUAGAUAUGUGGAGGAACACCGAUGGCGAAGGCAACCCCCUGGGCCAACACUGACGCUGAGGCACGAAAGCGUGGGGAGCAAACAGGAUUAGAUACCCUGGUAG
rnacentral:rRNA from 1 species